rnacentral:tRNA from 1 species
GCCAGGAUGGUCUAAUCGGUUAAGGCGUCGCCCCGGUCAGGCGAAGGUUGCGGGUUCAUUCCCCGCUCCUGGCC